rnacentral:rRNA from 1 species
AUGUCAAGCACCUACAACUUGGUCAUGGCUCGUGCGCCGAUGUGGAUGUUCGCUAUGCUCGUAGCGGCAUUGCUUCUCGUGACGCCAGCCGCCUCCGCUGCGCCCACGGGAGGCGACACGGGCACCGUGAUCGGCAUCGACCUCGGCACCACCUACUCGUGCGUCGGCGUCUACCGGAACGGCCGCGUCGAGAUCAUCGCCAACGACCAGGGCAACCGGAUCACCCCCUCCUGGGUCGCCUUCGCCGACGGCGGCGAGCGGCUCAUCGGCGAGGCCGCCAAGAACCAGGCGGCCGCCAACCCGGAGCGCACCAUCUACGACACCAAGCGCCUCAUCGGCCGGGACUUCGACGACGCCGUCGUGCAGCGGGACAUCAAGCUGCUGGCCUACUCCGUCGUCGACCGCAAGGGCAAGCCGCACAUUCAGGUGCGGGUCAAGGACGGCGACGUGCGCGUCUUCAGCCCCGAGGAGGUCAGCGCCAUGGUGCUCUCCAAGAUGAAGGAGACCGCCGAGGCCUACCUCGGCGAGAAGGUCACGCACGCCGUGGUCACCGUGCCGGCCUACUUCAACGACGCGCAGCGCCAGGCCACCAAGGAUGCCGGCGUCAUCGCCGGGCUCAACGUCCUCCGCAUCGUCAACGAGCCCACCGCUGCAGCGAUCGCCUACGGCAUCGACGAGAAGGGGCCCGAGAAGAACGUCCUGGUGUUCGACCUUGGCGGCGGCACCUUUGAUGUCAGCGUGCUGUCCAUCGACAAUGGCGUGUUCGAGGUCCUGGCCACCAACGGCGACACUCACCUCGGCGGCGAGGACUUCGACCAGCGCUUGAUGGACUACUUCAUCAAACUGAUCAAGCGGAAGCACGGCAGGGACAUCAGCGGCGACCUGCGCGCGCUGGGGAAACUGCGCCGGGAGUGCGAGCGCGCCAAGCGUGCGCUCAGCAACCAGCACCAGGUGCGCGUUGAGAUCGAAUCGCUCUUCGACGGUGUCGACUUCUCGGAGCCGCUCAGCAGGGCACGGUUCGAGGAGCUCAACAGCGACCUUUUCCGGAAGACGAUGGUGCCGGUGAAGAAGGCCAUGGCGGACGCUGGGCUCAGCAAGGCUGACAUCGACGAGAUCGUGCUCGUCGGCGGCAGCACCAGGAUUCCCAAGGUGCAGCAGCUCCUCAAGGACUACUUCAACGGCAAGGAGCCCAACAAGGGGGUCAAUCCGGACGAGGCCGUCGCGUACGGCGCCGCCGUGCAGGCCAGCAUCGUGAGCGGACACGUCGACGAAAACACCAAGAAAAUGAUCCUGAUCGAUGUCGCGCCGCUUACACUAGGCCUGGAGACGGUCGGCGGUGUGAUGACGAAGCUGAUCCCGAGGAACACGGUGGUGCCGACAAAGAAGACACAGGUGUUCACGACGUACCAGGACAAGCAGACCACCGUGUCCAUCAAGGUGUACGAGGGCGAGAGGAGCAUGACCAAGGACAACAGGCUCCUCGGCAAGUUUGAUCUCUCUGGAAUCCCACCAGCUCCGAGGGGCGCACCGCAGAUCGAGGUGACGUUCGAGGUGGACGUGAACGGCAUCCUGCACGUGAAGGCGGCGGACAAGGGCACCGGCAAGUCGGAGAAGAUCACCAUCACCAACGAGGGCGGCCGGCAUAGCCAGGAGGAGAUUGACCGGAUGGUGCGCGAGGCAGAGGAGUUCAUGGAGGAGGAUCGCAAGGUCAAGGAGCGGGUCGACGCCCGGAACAAGCUCGAGACAUACGUGUACGACAUUAAGAACACGCUCGACGGCAAGAUGGCCGACGCCAUGGAAGGAGAUGAAAAGGAGAAGGUCCAGGAUGCAGUGAGGGAGGUGAACGAGUGGCUCGACGACAACCCGGAGGCGGAGAAGGAGGACUACGAUGAGAAGCUCCGGGAGCUUGAAGACGUGUGCAACCCUGUCAUCUCGGCGCUCUACCAGAGGUCUGGAGGUGCACCGGAUGAUAACAACACCGGAGAGGACGAUCAUGAUGAACUCUAG